rnacentral:rRNA from 1 species
UACGGAGGGUGCAAGCGUUGUCCGGAUUUAUUGGGUUUAAAGGGUGCGUAGGCGGCCAGUUAAGUCAGCGGUGAAAGUUUUCGGCUCAACCGGAAAAAUGCCGUUGAUACUGGUUGGCUUGAGUCACGGAAGGGUACAUGGAAUUGGUGGUGUAGCGGUGAAAUGCAUAGAUACCAUCAGGAACACCGAUAGCGAAGGCAUUGUACUUGCCGUGAACUGACGCUGAGGCACGAAAGCGCGGGUAGCGAACAGG